rnacentral:rRNA from 1 species
CAGUCGCCGCGGUAAUACGAAGGGUGCAAGCGUUACUCGGAAUUACUGGGCGUAAAGCGUGCGUAGGUGGUGGUUUAAGUCCGUUGUGAAAGCCCUGGGCUCAACCUGGGAAUUGCAGUGGAUACUGGAUCACUAGAGUGUGGUAGAGGAUAGUGGAAUUUCCGGUGUAGCAGUGAAAUGCGUAGAGAUCGGAAGGAACAUCUGUGGCGAAGGCGACUAUCUGGGCCAACACUGACACUGAGGCACGAAAGCGUGGGGAGCAGACAGGAUUAGAUACCCCUGUAGUCCCUGUCUCUUAUAC